AUUCAACGGCCACGGUAUUAUAACCGCGCGAAGGUAGCGCAAUCACUUGUUUCCUAAUUAGAGACCGGUAUGAACGGUUAAUUGAGGGUUCUACUGUCUCCUAUGGCUAACCAAUGAAAUUGAUCUCCCAGUACAAAAGCUGGAAUAAACACAUAAGACGAGAAGACCCUGUGGAGCUUAAAACACACCACUACCAACGCAACCACAACCUAACACCCAAGGCCUACCUCAAUUGCUUUUAUAGUGCAUGUUUUCAGUUGGGGCGACUACGGAGCAAAAAAGAACCUCCAUGAAACAAGGCUAACCCCCACCUCAAGGCACACGUGCCAAACAGUAUUAAUUAGCGACCCAGUACUACUGAUAAUCGAACCAAGUUACCCCAGGGAUAACAGCGCCAUCCCCUUUAAGAGCCCAUAUCGCCAAGGGGGUUUACGACCUCGAUGUUGGAUCAGGGCACCCCGGUGGUGAAGCCGCUACCAAAGGUUCGUUUGUUCAACGAUUAAUGCCCUA
rnacentral:rRNA from 1 species